rnacentral:rRNA from 1 species
GAUGAACGCUGGCGGCGUGCCUAAUACAUGCAAGUCGAGCGAGGCGGGGACGGGUGAGUAACACGUGGGUAACCUCCUAUACGACUGGGAGAACUUCGGGAAACCGGGGAUAAACAGGCUCCUGAAAGAGGAAUCUUCGCUGCAUUAGCUAGUUGGUAAGGUAACGGAUUACCAAGGCAACGAUGCAUAGCCGACCUGAGAGGGGGAUCGGCCACACUGGAACUGAGACACGGUCCAGACUCCUACGGGAGGCAGCAGUAGGGAAUCUUCCGCAAUGGGCGAAAGCCUGACGGAGCAACGCCGCGUGAGUGAUGAAGGUCUUCGGAUCGUAAAACUCUGUUAUUAGGGAAGCGGUACCUAAUCAGAAAGCCACGGCUAACUACGUGCCAGCAGCCGCGGUAAUUC